UUGAUCCUGGCUCAGAAUCAACGCUGGCGGCGUGCCUAAUACAUGCAAGUCGAACGCGAAAGUCCCGCAAGGGAUGAGUAGAGUGGCAAACGGGUGAGUUACACGUGGGUGACCUGCCUUCGAGUGGGGGAUAACGUCCCGAAAGGGACUCUAAUACCGCAUGACAUCCUGCCUUUUAAGAGGCGGCGAUCAAAGCUGGUGAUCGCAAGACCUAGCGCUUGAAGAGGGGCCCGCGUCCGAUUAGCUAGUUGGUGGGGUAAUGGCUCACCAAGGCAACGAUCGGUAGCCGGCCUGAGAGGUCGGACGGCCACACUGGGACUGAGACACGGCCCAGACUCCUACGGGAGGCUGCAGUAGGGAAUUGUUCGCAAUGGGCGCAAGCCUGACGACGCAACGCCGUGUGGAGGAUGAAGAUCUUCGGGUCGUAAACUCCUUUCGAUCGAGACGAAUGGCCUCCGGGUGAACAAUCCGGAGGAGUGACGGUACCGAGAGAAGAAGCUCCGGCUAACUCCGUGCCAGCAGCCGCGGUAAUAAGGU
rnacentral:rRNA from 1 species